rnacentral:rRNA from 1 species
GGAAUCUUGCGCAAUGGGCGAAAGCCUGACGCAGCAACGCCGCGUGGGGGAUGAAGGCCUUCGGGUUGUAAACCCCUUUCAGGAGGGAAGAAAUUGACGGUACCUCCAGCAGAAGCACCGGCCAACUACGUGCCAGCCGCCGCGGUAACACGUAGGGUGCGAGCGUUAUCCGGAACCAUUGGGCGUAAAGAGCUCGUAGGCGGUUCAGCAAGUCGGCUGUGAAAGUCCGAGGCUCAACCUCGGAAUUGCAGUCGAUACUGCUGUGACUCGAGUCCGGUAGAGGAGAAUGGAAUUCUCGGUGUAGCGGUGAAAUGCGCAGAUAUCGAGAGGAACACCAGUAGCGAAGGCGGUUCUCUGGGCCGGCACUGACGCUGAGGAGCGAAAGCGUGGGGAGCAAAC